UAACGACCCCAUCACUCGCUGGUUUUACCAGUGCAAUCAGUCAACGCAGGGCAGCUUGUGGCGAGCUGUUGGGGAUUAGCGACCUCACGUACCCGAGUGCUCCUAGGGAGUUCUGUUACCCGCAAGGAGGGGCGAGUUAUUUGCAUACCGUUUUAUUAGGCAGGCGUCCGGUUUUUUACCCAUCCAUCACUUAGUCCAUCGCUUUCACCCAAUAACCUAGUUCAUUUUAUAUUUCAUCAACUCUCAAUAGUCCUUACACCCUGGCGGGUGCUGCCUCUGCGUGCGUCCCAUGACACGGGUAAGGGCAGCAUCCGCUCGGUGUACCCCUUACAUUUCAUUAAAGUGUCAAAAGGGCCUCUACGUGUUGGCUUCGACUCCGCGCACGCCUCCCAAAGGUCCGGAACACCAUUGUUCCGUGAUGGAAAAGACAUACAAA